GAAGAGGAGGAAGAGGAGGAAGAGGAAGGAGAAGCAGAGGAGCUCAGGGCGACGCUGGAAAUCCGAGACGCCAGGAUCGAGGAGCUCUCGGAGGCGCUCGAACAAAGGGACAGAGAGAUCGCCCAGCUGAACGCGGAGCUCG